UACCAGCACCCCGAGUGGUCGGGACGAUUAUUGGGCCUAAAGCAUCCGUAGCCGGUUCUGCAAGUCCCCCGUUAAAUCCAGCUGCUCAACAGAUGGGCCGCGGAGGAUACUACAGAGCUAGGAGGCAGGAGAGGCAAGCGGUACUCAGUGGGUAGGGGUAAAAUCCGUUGAUCCAUUGAAGACCACCAGUGGCGAAGGCGGCUUGCUAGAAUGCGCUCGACGGUGAGGGAUGAAAGCUGGGGGAGCAAACCGG
rnacentral:rRNA from 1 species